rnacentral:rRNA from 1 species
GACGAACGCUGGCGGCGUGCUUAACACAUGCAAGUCGAACGAUGAAGCCGGAGCUUGCUCUGGUGAAUUAGUGGCGAACGGGUGAGUAACACGUGAGUAACCUGUCCUUGACUCUGGGAUAACUGCGGGAAACUGUAGCUAAUACCGGAUACGACCCUCGGAGGCAUCUCCUGGGGGUGGAAAGAAUUUCGGUCAAGGAUGGACUCGCGGCCUAUCAGCUAGUUGGUGAGGUAAAGGCUAACCAAGGCGACGACGGGUAGCCGGCCUGAGAGGGGGACCGGCCACACUGGGACUGAGAAACGGCCCAGACUCCUACGGCAGGCAGCAGUGGGGAAUAUUGCACAAUGGGCGCAAGCCUGAUGAAGCAACGCCGCGUGAGGGAUGACGGCCUUCGGGUUGUACACCUCUUUUAGCAGGGAAGAAGCGAAGGUGACGGUACCUGCAGAAAAAGCACCGGCUAACUACGUGCCAGCCGCCGCCGUAA